rnacentral:tRNA from 1 species
UCCUUGAUGGCUCAGUUGGACAGAGCGUCUGCCAUGUAAGCAGGAGAUCCUGGGUUCGAGUCCCAGUUGGGGCA